ensembl:scaRNA
AGCCUCUCUCCCAUGGGACUGUGAAGGGUCCCUUUUUUCCUCAGCCACGGCUGGAGGCCAAGACCAGCCCUUGAGGAUCAUUGCCCGGGCUGCCAUGAGCUGGCAGCCUUGUUUUCCAGCCCCAGACGUCU